rnacentral:tRNA from 1 species
GGAGGGUUCGCCUAGUGGCCGAUGGCGGCGGUCUUGAAAACCGCUAUGGGGCGUGAGCUUCAUCGUGGGUUCGAAUCCCACACCCUCCG